rnacentral:rRNA from 1 species
GGGGUUCCUAAUUAAAAAAAUUGCCCCAGCCAAAAGGCCAUGGAAAAAAACUUGUGCCUAGCUGCCAAUUACAAUAGCGGGGCCCCUAAGUCUUGGCAAAGUUGCGUACUGAUCGGCGAACUUCAAACCUCUUCCGGAUUAGGAAUUGGAGGGUAAGUCUGGUGAGUUUAGCGGCAGGGGGGGUAGUUCCAGGUCCAAUAGCGGGGUUUGUAUAAUAUUGUUGUUUUUUGUCGGAACAAGGUCGGAGGGUGAAUUUCGAAACGGGUGGCUGCAUUGCUUGUGUCGCUAUGGGGUCUGUGCAUGAGGCCUUCUCCCGACCGGAGUUUCUUUGUCGGAAUGUUUACUUUGAGGAAUAUUACAGUGCUCAAAGAAGGCUUUCGCCUUGAAUAGUUUAGCAUGGAAUAAUAGAGUACGACUUUGGUUCUAUUUGGUUGGUUUUAGGU